rnacentral:rRNA from 1 species
AUUGAACGCUGGCGGCAGGCCUAACACAUGCAAGUCGAACGAGUGGCGGACGGGUGAGUAAUGUCUGGGAAACUGCCCGCUGGCGGGGGAUAACUACUGGAAACCGUAGCUAAUCCCGCAUACCAUCGGAUGUCGCCAGAUGGGAUUAGCUCGUAGGUGGGGUAACGGCUCACCUAGGCGACGAUCCCUAGCUGGUCUGAGAGGAUGACCAGGCACACGGGAACUGAGACACGGUCCAGACUCCUACGGGAGGCAGCAGUGGGGAAUAUUGCACAAUGGGCGAAAGCCUGAUACAGCCAUGCCGCGUGUAUGAAGAAGGCCUUCGGGUUGUAAAGCACUUUCAGCGAGGAGGCGUUACUCGCAGAAGAAGCACCGGCUAACUCCGUGCCAGCCGCCGCGGUAAUUC